rnacentral:tRNA from 1 species
AUUUAAGUAAUUUAAAAAAAAAUAUUGAUUUGUGGUAUCAAAAAUAUAUGUAUAUAUCUUAAAUU